AACCCCAUUUUGCGGACUUUUUCGCUAAUCACCUUCCACCUAUGGCGUCCUUCGCUCGGCUGCUUCUUCCCUGAACCCUAACACAACCCUCUUCCAUUUUUCUUCUUCCUUCUCCUCUCUCCAUCAAUGGCGGAUUUCUCCUUCCUCUCCGACACAGACGAUUCCGCCGUCGAAGAUCUUCUUUCCCAAACUCAGGAUCUCUGUGUUCUCGAGCAACUCUCUGCCAUCAACUGCUCUGGCUUCACCAACUCCGUUCUUCCCACUGACCUUGAAUCCCGAUUCCGCAAGCUCAAAUCCUUUCCUGCUGCUAAAUCCGAGACCAGGUCCGGUUUCGAUUCCAAGAAUAAUCCGUCUGUACACUCUGCCGAUGAGAAUUUGGGCGACGAUUUUGCUGGGUUUUCUCCGUCUAAACAGAGUCAUAAGAAGGAAUUAGGGUUUAGCCCUAAAUCUCAGUCGCAGCGUCUUCCGGAUUCUUCAUCGGGAAAAGUAAAUUCGACGCCUCGUUCCAGAGCGAAAUCGAAAUGUAGGCACGUUUCAUCUCCUUCGAAUUCUUCGUCUUCGUCUAGUGAAAUCGAUGAAAUCUCAGUAUCGAAGAAUGAUAGCGAAAUCCGCUCGAAAACCAAGUCGGAAUCGGGAUACUUGGCUUCUCCGCCACAAUCUCCGCCGAGAAAAACCGGUUGUUUUUGGUGUUCACCGAAGAAAACUUCGGAGAAGAAGAAUAGCGGCAACAGAAUUCUGGAGAAUGACCUUGGAUGGGGUAAGAACAACGAUUUUCUCUCAGACUUGAACAUUUUUUCGGCAAAAGAGCAACAGAAAAUUCUGAAAAAGGCAAUGAAAGAGGAAGAGAAGAUAAAUCGGGAGGCUGAGAAAAUUGUGAAAUGGGCGAAGCAAGCUUCUGCUAGGAUGAAUAUUUCAGACAUUGAAGACGAGCUUAGCGAUCAAGAAAUCAAGAAAUGACCCUUGACCGCACCAAUCAUCUCUUGCUGGCAUUUGUGGGUUGUCGUCGUGUCGUCUGUGUGCAGAUCUGGUGUUCGUGGUUUGUCGUCAUGUCAUUCGCAUGCAAAUUUGGCCAAGCAGAUUGAGUUUCAUGUGCAGCCGUGCAGAUCUUGUGCAGAUCCGACGUUCGUGGGUUGUCUUCGUGUCGUUUGCGUGCAGAUCCAACGUUUGAGUGUAGAUCCGGCCAAGCAGAUUGAAUUUCGUGUGCGGCCGUGCAGAUCGCGUAUAGUGGCGUUCGUGGGUUGUCUUCAUGUCGUUCGCAUCCAGAUCCUACGUUCACGUGCAGCUCCAGCAUUCGCGUGCAAAUCUAGUUGUACAAUUCUGGCCAUGCAGAUCGUGUGCAGAUCCGACGUUCGUGGGUUGUCGUCGUCGGCAUUACAAGCUCAGUCGUGUUGGGUAAGCCGGCCGGUCGUCAGAUCUGUUCCAAUCUUCGAGCUCAGUUCGGGUCUUUUCAAGUUUUGUGGGUUGUUUCCGUUGUUUGCUUGGAAAGUGGAUUGAAAACAUGGCAAGCUAAGCACUAUCUCCAACACCAUCAGUCUUCUCCAAAAUGGAAACAUAUAAAGUUCAAUACAAAAAAUGCAUAUACCCAAUGAGAGAUUGACGUAAUUUGAACACAAUGGACAAGUUUUGUUGGCCGAUUUGUGUAAGGAUGUACU